rnacentral:lncRNA from 1 species
GCUUCAGCCCAGCGGCGGGCCUUGGCCCUUGGCUGCCUACUCCUACCGCCCCAGCCCCGGGCGGCCCUGGGCCUGCUGCGGGCGCGGCGCUGCCCGACCAGAGCUUCCUGUGGAACGUCUUCCAGAGGGUCGAUAAAGACAGGAGUGGAGUGAUAUCAGACACCGAGCUUCAGCAAGCUCUCUCCAACGAUGGAGGCCCAUUGAGGCUUCUCUGUCCUCCACGGGGAACAGCAUUGGCCUAAACCUGCAGACACCAUUGCAAAGGGAAUUCAGGCAAACCGGCUGGUGAAGAAUGAUUCCAGCGUGGGGACAGAGGCUGACAUUUCUUGCGCACGUGGACUCCCUUUAAUCCAGUGACUGUCAGGUCGAUCAUAUACUACACUGAAGGCUGGUUACGCUCUUAUGUGCAAUAGAACCUCAAACACAUCGUAACACACCUUUGGAGAAUCCUUACAAGAACACCAAGUUAACAGUUAUCUCUGACCACACUACCUCAGCAAAAAACCAGGAAGAAAAAAUAUUCUUCAACCCUUUUCAGGGACAGAAAGCAUCAUUUCAAAAGUCCAAGAAGGGAAGCAAAACUUCUGACCUGAGACAUCGAAGCAGAUAAAAAGCCGCUACACAAAAUGUAUCGCUACAACUAGAGGGCAGUCUUGCCUUUCUUCCAUUCAAUUAUUCAGUUUCUCAUGUUCCUAAGUGCCAGCCCAGAACCAUGGAAUGUGAAGAAACACAAAACUCACUCCUCUGCAUCAGUGAAUUGAUUGUGUGGUGGGGAUGUAAGUCUGCAUGUGACUGACAGUUCCCCAAAGUGGUGCCAAGUCAAUCUAAACUAGAGAGAAUUUCUGGCCAGGCCAAGCAGAGAUUUCAUGGAUGAAGUCUCCCAAAGACUGAUUUCCUAAACAUUAAACAUCACUGGUUUUCCAAAA